rnacentral:rRNA from 1 species
AUGCCCAGGUUACAAAGGUGUGCUACUGCUAGAAGAAAGAAAAUUGUUGGUGUUGGUCGUGGCAAGAUGGUUGCCGCUACAGCUCAUGAUGAUGACUGUAUGGAGCCACCGGUUAGGUCAACAUCACUUCCCGUUAAAUACGUAGCGCCGGUUUCUAGAUGCACACCCAUUUCUAUUUCGUCCAUCGUGAAAGAUUUUAAUGAUGAGAAGAAACGCUUAGUCAUUGAAAUGAAGUUUGACGGAAUUUUGAAACUACCGGAAAUGACAAACUCUCGGGAAUUUAGUCACAACCUUCUAUCUAGGGUAUCCACUGAAGAAAUAGCAAUUAGAAUGGGUGAUGGAACUCUUCUGCACUUCACUGAUGUAAUAUGCAUCCGACUGAAUGUCCCGGAGUUUAAAAAAAUCACGAGAAGUGUACUCACCGAUAUUCUAAGCAAGAAACAUGAAGCACCAAUGUCGGAUGAGGAAAUUGCUGCCUUCAAGACUGCCUUCAUUCUCCUUUUGAUGACAAAAUUUCUCGCGCCACAAACUUUGUUGGACAAUAUAUGUCCGAAAUAUUUUAUGGCGCUCAAGAAUUUAGAUGACAUCCCUAACUGGAACUGGGCGAGGUAUGUCGUCGAUGACAUUAUAGCAGCAGCACGGGCAUUGGCCAACAAGCUCAGUGAUGAUACAAAAGCCACGUAUAUAAACGUAUGUGUCAUAUUUCUGCAAAUAUUCUACUUGGACAAUUUGGAAUUGGGUCCGCUGAGUCUCAAGCAUGAUUUCUUCCCACGAAUUAUGGCGUAUGAUAAACACGCAAUAAAAGUAAGAAUGAGUAUGGACCUCAAAGAGAAGAAUCAGUACAAGCCAACCCAGUUUGGGAUGAUGAAGCUACGUCCAAGAAGUGAUGUCUGUUAUAGCAGACCUAAUGUGGGUAUGAUGUCGGCUUUUCGAGUUGAAAGUGCUUCUGUCCCAUCAGAUAACAAUCCUGAUAAUAGCAAGAUAGUUCAGCAAGCAUUCCUGCAAGGGGACAAUUUGUCAGAUGGAAAUAUGGAUUCCUGCGCCAAUGUAUUUCGUCAACCUUCUCAUGUUCAGCUGCAGCAUCCGUCAGUUACUGAUUUCAUUUCAGCUCUAGCUCAUAUGCAAUUUACGCCCAACAUACCCGCAGCAAAUAAUUUGCAUGCCAGAACAUCUACAUCAAUGAGUACACCAGGUUACAAUGGAUCACUCGAUUUAAAUCGGUCGGUUAAGGGUGAGGAAGAGACGAGCCUAAACCUCAACAAAACAUACCCACGUCCUUCAUUGUGCGAUAUAGAGCCACCCUCUUUUGAUCUCGGCAUUGACCUGACACCAGCACAAGAACCAAAGAAAGUUUACACGGACACCAUGUUUGCGAAGUUCAGCGACCAGGUAUACAUGAGUGCAUCUUACUUUGUCCAAGAAAUCAGAGAUGAUGGCACAUACAUAACUGUUCACAUGGAUUGUGAUACGAGGGAAAACUGGAGUAAGUUGGAGUUUCCAGUUCAUGUAAAUGAGGAUGAAGAGGAAUACAGAUGUAUUUGUAGAUUGUUUGAACACAUGGGCAUAUUAUGCUCACACAUAAUCAGGGUGAUGAUGCAUAUUGGGUGCCGGACUCUUCUAGACAAAUACAUCAAGAAAAGAUGGACGAGCAAUGCCCGAGAAGGAAAUAAAAGCAGAUUCGACGUGGAUGCUGCUGCUUCGAGGACUCACCGGCGUACCCUGUUAUUCGAAGCUUGCAUGGACCUAUCGUCCAAAGGUGAUGCAUCAGUUGAUGCGCACCAUGUUGCAAUGAGGAAAAUUACUGAAGCUUUACAGGAGAUCCGUUUGCUGCCAACCCAAGAAGAUGGUACGGCUAUACCUCAAGUCCACACAAUGUCUACACAUUUAUCUGCAGAAUCAGAUAAUGAGUGCGCCAAUGAAAUGGAAGACGAGGACAUCUUGGAAGCUCAAAUGCAUGACGAUGUGCUUCCACCUGACCGACGCAAGAAGCGAGGAUGUCCGAGGACAGCAAGGCUCAAAUCUGUUGCGGGAGGUGGUGUAGGUAAACAACGGAAAUGUUCAUUCUGCCAUGAGAAAGGACACUACAGAACUGGUUGUCCUCAAAACCCAGAGAAUUUGACAAGGCCAAAGAUUAAUAAAGUCUGCAAGAAGUGCCAACUUCCUGGCCAUAACACUUCCACAUGUGGC